AGCCCGCUCAGAAACUACAAAGGAAUUGACGGGGACCCGCACAAGCAGCGGAGCAUGUGGUUUAAUUCGAAGCAACGCGAAGAACCUUACCAGGUCUUGACAUCCAAUUGACCAUCUUUUAAUCGAGGUUUUGCCUUCGGGUACAAUUGAGACAGGUGGUGCAUGGUUGUCGUCAGCUCGUGUCGUGAGAUGUUGGGUUAAGUCCCGCAACGAGCGCAACCUUGUGUUUAGUUGCAAACAGGUCAAGCUGUGCACUCUAGACAGACUGCCGCGGACAACACGGAGGAAGGUGGGGAUGACGUCAAAUCAUCAUGCCCCUUAUGAUCUGGGCUACACACGUGCUACAAUGGCCGGUACAACGGGCAGCGAAGGAGCGAUCCGGAGCGAAUCCUAAAAAGCCGGUCCCAGUUCGGAUUGCAGGCUGAAACUCGCCUACAUGAAGUUGGAGUUGCUAGUAAUCGCGAAUCAGAAUGUCGCGGUGAAUGCGUUCCCGGGUCUU
rnacentral:rRNA from 1 species